UUCCAAAAUUUAUAAAAAUCUAAAAUUACCUGCAGUCUUACCUGAUGAUGAUUUUUUCGAAACCGGUCGUGUAUUUAACAAUUUUGUA